rnacentral:rRNA from 1 species
GUCGAGCGGACUUUAAAAGCUUGCUUUUAAAGUUAGCGGCGGACGGGUGAGUAACACGUGGGCAACCUGCCUGUAAGACUGGGAUAACUUCGGGAAACCGGAGCUAAUACCGGAUAAUCCUUUUCCUCUCAUGAGGAAAAGCUGAAAGACGGCAUCUCGCUGUCACUUACASAUGGGCCCGCGGCGCAUUASCUAGUUGGUGAGGUAACGGCUCACCAAGGCAACRAUGCGUAGCCAACCUGAGAGGGUGAUCGGCCACACUGGGACUGAAACACGGCCCAAACUCCUACGGGAGGCAGCAGUAGGGAAUCUUCCGCAAUGGACAAAAGUCUGACGGASCAACSCCGCGUGAGUGAUGAAGGUUUUCGRAUCGUAAAGCUCUGUUGUUAGGGAARAACAAGUACAARAGUAACUGCUUGUACCUUGACGGUACCUAACCARAAAGCCACGGCUAACUACGUGCCAGCAGCCGCGGUAAUACGUAGGUGGCAAGCGUUGUCCGGAAUUAUUGGGCGUAAAGCGCGCGCAGGCGGUCCUUUAAGUCUGAUGUGAAAGCCCACGGYUCAACCGUGRAGGGUCAUUGRAAACUGGGGRACUUGAGUGCARAARAGAARAGUGGAAUUCCACGUGUAGCGGUGAAAUGCGUARAGAUGUGRAGGAACACCAGUGGCGAAGGCGACUCUUUGGUCUGUAACUGACGCUGAGGCGCGAAAGCGUGGGGAGCAAACAGGAUUAGAUACCCUGGUAGUCCACGCCGUAAACGAUGAGUGCUAAGUGUUAGAGGGUUUCCGCCCUUUAKUGCUGCAGCAAACGCAUUAAGCACUCCGCCUGGGGAGUACGGCCGCAAGGCUGAAACUCAAAGGAAUUGACGGGG